AUUGAACGCUGGCGGCAGGCCUAACACAUGCAAGUCGAACGAGUGGCGGACGGGUGAGUAAUGUCUGGGAAACUGCCCGAUGGAGGGGGAUAACUACUGGAAACGGUAGCUAAUACCGCAUACCAUCGGAUGUGCCCAGAGGGGAUUAGCUGUUAGGGGAGGAAAAGGCUCACCUAGGCGACGAUCCCUAGCUGGUCUGAGAGGAUGACCAGCCCCACUGGAACUUGUACACGGGCCAGACGCCUACGUGCGGCAGCAGUGGGGAACAUUGCACAAUGGGCGCAAGCCUGAUGCAGCCAUGCCGCGUGUAUGAAGAAGGCCUUCGGGUUGUAAAGUACUUUCAGCGGGGAGGCGUUACCCGCAGAAGAAGCACCGGCUAACUCCGUGCCAGCCGCCGCGGUAAUAC
rnacentral:rRNA from 1 species